AGUUCAGACAGACAGAAGAUGUCUUUUUCUUCUUUUCUUGGACAAUGUUAUCUUCAAGGAACAGCAGAUAAAAUACAAACUGCUCCUAUUCUUGAAGGAAUAGUUUG